UACCCGCUGUUGCAGUCCCGAAAGCUCAUCAUUCAGAGAGCCUCGA
rnacentral:misc_RNA from 1 species